GGCUUAAAUAUAUCUAGAAAAAAAGUUUUUGCUCCUGUGUAAAUAUCAUAAUAAAUUUGCACUGUCCUCUGAUUGGUCACAGCAGAGAGAUUUAAAUAAUAAAUCCCGCAAAAUUGUGCCUCUCUCCCGGCAGCACGAUAAGAAUCCGUCGAGAUCGUCGCAGUUUCGUUCUACGUCGGUCGCGUCCACGAAAUGUAAACACUAUUGGACGCGUACGAAACCGGGUAUGCCGAUUCGGUUUUUGUUGGUCCAUCGCAAGAAGUUAGGUAGUUUAGAUUAGGUUAGGUAGGGUUUUCAAUGUUGUUUUUUUAACCCUUCAUGUUGAAAGUCUAACUCACUUUGGAAGAUUCAUUGUUUUUGUUAGUGUAAGGAAAUUAAGAUCAUAUUUAUUUAUUAGAAAAAAUCCAAAUAAAAACUUGUAAAACUAUCGUUUUGGCCGUGCAGCUAUUUUCCGAAGGUCAUAAAAGUUGAAAAUACAUCAAAAACCAUUGGAACAAGAUUAUUUCAACCUAACCUAACCUAUUUGAGUAAUCAGUUUCUCCACGUGGUACUAAACAAACAAGUGCCUUUAUUAUAAGUGUACGAAGAUGUUAUUUGACCACGAUUCUGGGCCAAAUAACCGUCGGCCAUUUGACCGGGACCUGCGGGGAUCAUAUAGGAUUGUAGUCGGGAUGGUUGGGGGCAUUAAACAAGUCAUUACAUUAUGGUAUUAUUUAAUUGUAUAAUUUCUGUUGACAAAAGGAUUUAGUUUUAUUUUAGAUCUCUGUCAAAUAAGCGGCGGUUAUUGUGCCGAGUACCGGUCAAAUAAUCCCUGCCUAUAAUAUAAUAGUUUUACAGUGUUGUGUAUUAUAUAGCUAUUGGUCACAUUUCCAGGAAGCUUCAAGGACCAACAACACAUCUCGGUACGACAAGUCGAGACUCGACCGUACAGACCCGUCCGGUCUCGCACACGACGCCGUUAACGGCAAACGGAGAAACGCCGCUGGGAGGCACUUUCUCCAACACUGCCUACAGUGGACCUGAUGUGAACUAGAAUGAAGUUGGCUGGACAUGAAAUUUACUGGACCUCAAGUAGUCUGUGGAAGCUUUAAGGACCAACAACACAUCUCGGUACGACAAGUGGAGACUCGACCGUACAGACCCGUCCGGUCUCGCACACGACGCCGUUAACGGCAAACGGAGAAACGCCGCCGCCGACCCGCCGGAGGUACUUUCUCCAUCACUGCCUAAAGUGGACCUGAUGUGAACUAGAAUGAAGUUGGCUGGACCUGCAGUGAAGUGGACCUGAAGCUAACUGGACCUCAAGUAGUCUGUGGUAUUGUAUUUAAUAUUGUUGUGGUACUUUGAAUGUUAGGAAAGUUGUACAGGCAUUCCCCAGUUUGAAAGAGUACUGUGUCUUAUAAAAACCUAUGGUAAAUCGAAUCAAUAUUCCUAUAGACUCACAUUAUAAAAGCCAAGAUACUUUUCUUCAAUGAAAAAGGUUCCCCCCCCAAUUAUGUAGUCUCCAAAAAGUAUUGAUAGAUUUUCUAGCGGUAAAAUUUGAAAUGCUGGGUGAAAGACUUUGAUGUGAUCUCCAGUGCAUCAGCAUAAAUUGGUACAGGUACAUCCGGUCACUAUAUGAGCAACAGCCAUAGACGGCGGGUAGCGAGAGAGGGAGUCAUCCUCGCGUGACAUACAACCGUACAGUAUAUGCUUUACUAUAACAAGAAAUCCAUUAAGCUAUAUUAACGUAUGUAUCGUGCUGGGUAGAAGCAAGGCAUAUGUAAAGAAGCCCCUGACUGAGGAUUACAAUAACAUGGAAAUAUACUUUAAAUGGAAGAGUUUCGGAUCACAACCGAGACGGACCUCGAGGCGAACAUUUCACCGUGUCGUAGUGACGGUUUCAUUCGUACCGAGCUGCAGAAUAUAGUCGUCGACGACACGUAUGAUUUAUGAGAGGUGACCAAGGAAAUAGUAGUUGAUAUUAGAGUGAACAGCUACAGCAAUAUACAGUAUAUUGGUCUAAUUGGGAUCUGCCAAAUAUUAUUGAUUCGUAAAUAGUGUCGGUUUAACGUCACGAUAAGAAUUUAAAUCGGCGCGUCGCCGGUCUUUUCGUGGCGGCUGAUCCAUCGCGAUACCGCGGGUUCGCUCGCCCCGUUGCGUCUUUCCGAUAAUUCCUCGGUUCGUUUGACGUGAGAUCCCAUUAAUGACCGGCACGGCGUCGGCGUCCAUUUACGACACGCAAUCUCAAUUCGCUUGACGUGCGAUCGGAAGCCUCGGAGGAUUCGCAUCUCUCAAAAACAUACGUAUGCUCAUUCGUGCUCAGAGGUGUAGACGUAGAGUUGGCAACAGUUCUGAAACGGGUCGUGUAACAUUGGUCGAAUAGCCUCGAAGCACGUCGACCCCGUGGCUAAAGAUAUUAUUUUGGGGUGACCGUACUCGUCGAUUAUAAGCCAAUACCGUAUAGGAGCUCUUCGACCGACAGACGAGUCGAGCUCCCGAGGCUCGUUCGCGAGUCCGACUUAACUCUUGUAGAUAAUGAUAUACAGUAGAGCUAUACCGUAUAUACCCAGCACAUUCCGGUACAGUCGGUCCCCGACUUACGACGGGGUCAGGGACCGGCGACCGGGUCGCAAGUCGAAAAUGGGAAAAUAAUACUGUACAUAGAUGGGCGUCUCAUUUUCUUCUCGGCACCACGAAACUCUCAAUCUUACGCUUGCCGGCCAUUUUAAAGGGAAUUACAAAUGAAAAUGUUGUCGGUACACAGCGCAAUCACUAAUGUCUGCAUUCAAAAAUACAUAAUUUGACAACAUUAAGACCAAUCCCCACAUGUGAAGGGACCCAUAC